AUUGAACGCUGGCGGCAUGCUUUACACAUGCAAGUCGAACGGUAACAGGCCGCAAGGUGCUGACGAGUGGCGAACGGGUGAGUAAUGCAUCAGAACGUGCCCAGUCGUGGGGGAUAACGCAGCGAAAGCUGCGCUAAUACCGCAUACGAUCUAUGGAUGAAAGCGGGGGACCGUAAGGCCUCGCGCGAUUGGAGCGGCCGAUGUCAGAUUAGGUAGUUGGUGGGGUAAAGGCUCACCAAGCCAACGAUCUGUAGCUGGUCUGAGAGGACGCCCAGCCACACUGGGACUGAGACACGGCCCAGACUCCUACGGGAGGCAGCAGUGGGGAAUUUUGGACAAUGGGCGCAAGCCUGAUCCAGCAAUGCCGCGUGCAGGAAGAAGGCCUUCGGGUUGUAAACUGCUUUUGUACGGAACGAAACGGUCCUGGUUAAUACCUGGGGCUAAUGACGGUACCGUAAGAAUAAGCACCGGCUAACUACGUGCCAGCCGCCGCCGUAACAC
rnacentral:rRNA from 1 species